rnacentral:rRNA from 1 species
GUGAGGAAUUUUCCGCAAUGGGCGAAAGCCUGACGGAGCAAUGCCGCGUGAAGGAUGAAGGCCUAUGGGUUGUAAACUUCUUUUCUCAGAAAAGAAUUAUGACGGUAUCUGAGGAAUAAGCAUCGGCUAACUCUGUGCCAGCAGCCGCGGUAAGACAGAGGAUGCAAGCGUUAUCCGGAAUGAUUGGGCGUAAAGCGUCUGUAGGUUGUUUAAAAAGUAUUCUGUCAAAGAUUAGGGCUUAACCCUAGAUAGGCAGAAUAAACUUUUAAGCUAGAGGUUGGUAGAGGCAGAGGGAAUACCCGGUGGAGCGGUGAAAUGCGUAGAUAUCGGGAGGAACACCAAAGGCGAAGGCACUCUGCUGGGCCAAUACUAACACUGAGAGACGAAAGCGAGGGGAGCAAAUGGGAUUAGAAACCCUAGUAGUCC